UGACAGAGUGCGAUGUGUGCAUUGCAUUGCGACGGGUUACAUCACUGGUCGUAACAUGAUGUAACCCAACGCAGCAUGAUGUAAGCGUCGUGAUACAUUGGAGAUUUAAAGA
rnacentral:pre_miRNA from 1 species